AAAAGGAGGAAAAACAAUACACAGUGGCUUCAAAUUACCUAUCCCAAUACUUGAAACAUCUACUUCACAUAUGAGCUUACGUUCACCUGAAACUGCCAGCCUGAAAAAGGCCACAUUAAUUAUAACUGAUGAAGCCACUAAGAUGCACACUCAUGCACUUAGAUGCAUUGAUUUAUUGUUAAAAGAGAUUAUGCAAAAUGAUACACCCUUUGAAGGAAAAAUGCUUUUGUUAGGUGGAUACUUCAGACAAACAUUACUAAUCACAGUAAGAUUUACAAGAACCAAGAUGACUGAGGCAUGCAUAAAAAAUAAUCAUCUGUGGUCACAUUUUACCAAAAUCAAAUUAUCACAAAGUAUGAGAACUGAAGGACAACAUCAAUUGAAUGAAUGGACUCUUAAAACUGGUAAAGGAACUAUGUCGAACGAUUAUAGGUUGCCACCAGAUCUAAUAGAAAUACCAGAAACCUUUAUUGAAAUGGAGUCCAUUGUCACAGCAGUUUAUGGGAAACACAUCAAAGCAGGCAACUUGGAUUCCCUUGUGAAGAAAACUAUCAUAACUCCUAAAAAUAAACAUGCCAUGGAAUUGAAUACUGAAAUUAUAACUUUGCUGCCUGGUUAAAUGAAAAAAUACUACAGCACAGAUUCUAUGAUCAUGGAUGAUUCAAAAAAAUCAAACUACUUAUCUCAUUGAAUUUUUAAAAGUGCAAACACCAUCAGGACAACCACAGCAUGAAUUGUAAUUGAAAAUUGGUGCUAUUGUUAUGUUAAUCAGAAAUAUGAAUCCAAAAAUGGGACUGUGCAAUGGAACUUGACUGAUAAAUAAGAGGAUUACACCAAAAUUUCCUCGAUGCUGAAAUAAUUACAGGUACUAAUAUAAGAGAUUGCAUCAUCAUUCCUCAGAUUGAUUUGGCUCCAUUGGACACACAACUACCUUUCAUUCUAAAAAGGAGACAAUUUCCUGUAAUAAUAGCAUUUGCAAUAGCAAUUAAUAAAUCACAAGGACAAACUUUUGACUCUGUUGGACUCUACUUACCAAAACCAGUGUUUUCCCAUGGACAACUGUAUGUGGCCCUAACGAGAGCCAGGAAUAAAAACAACUUAAGAACAUACAUUUCACUGGUAACAAACAAACAAGGAUAUUUAAACAGUGAUGAGAAAAUAUUCACCGAAAACAUAGUCUUUAAGGAGAUAUUUGCUAAUUAUGUUAA